GUUGAGAUGAGUCAGGGAGAGCUAGGGUUGGGGCAGUCUUUAAAGUUGUCUUCAAGGAACGGAAAGAGGAGUGAGGAAAGGAUUUAGGAUCUAUGGGGUCAGCUAGGUUUCUUUUUGUGAGUUUAUAUAAUGGUUUUGUUAGGAUGGCAAAACCAGGUAUCUAAAGUCGAAAGUAUCUAACCAUGCCUAGGAAGGAAAGGAGUUGUUGUUUUGUAGAAGGUGCUGGGGUUUGAGAGAUCAGUCAGACACGAUCGGCAGGGAGAGCACGUGUGUUUUUAGGAGAAUUAUGCCGAGAUAGGUAACAGAUGAGGAAGAAAUUUGGGCUUGACUGAUGUAUUGGGGGCUGUCUGUGAAGCUUUGAGGCAGUACGGCCCAGGACAGGUGAAAUGGGUGAAUUGUAAGGAGAGUUUAUAGCUUUUAAAAGGUCAUGCUGUAGCAGGUGAGUGAUAACAGGCUUUAAUCCUUUUAAAGCGUGCUGUGGGAUGGGAUAAAGUGCAGUAAGGGUGAUUAGGUUUUAAAGAGAUGGUAACGGGUGCAUGAUCGGUUGCCAAGGAGGGAGUAGA
rnacentral:lncRNA from 1 species